rnacentral:lncRNA from 1 species
CCUUCAAGCGGUUGCAAUCUCUAAUUUCGCAAAAGCUCGGCAUGUCUCCUAACCAGAUCUCCACCUCUCUGGUUUGCCGAAAGAGCAACCAAAAGCGCCUGAAAAUCCCAAUUACUGAGACCACAAGCUUCUCUCAAAUCCUAAUCCAUAAUUCGAAUCUCGAUUCCUUCUUUCUAGUGACAAUCAAGAAGCCCAAAAGGGAUCGAAGGUCGAAGCCUCAAAGGAUCGAAGAGGGCGCUCUGCCAUCCAAAAUCUCACCGGAGAAGACCCUUUUACGCCGGAACCCAGACUCUGGAAAACCAAAUCCCGGCAAUGGGUUGCAAUUCACCGGCGGGUACCCCUCGCCGGAAAGUUAUUUCGCAAACGGAAAUUACGGCAUUGACGGGAGGGGCCUAUUUUCUACUGUUAAAGAGCGCACAUCGACAGUAUGCGAGCUUUGCAGAGAGAGCAAAGAGCGGCCGGUUCCCUUCCACUUGUGCGUGUACGAUGCAGUGACCGUCGGAUUUCGAGGUCCUUCCCCUGCCGGUCCGAUCGGACGGCCAAGGAAGGGCCACGUCGAGGCGGCCGCUUAGUCGUCGGUAAAUUGGGUUUUGGAGUCCCUGAACUUGGAUUUCGCCGACCUAUCGAAUUGGAGGAGUGCUUUUUUUUUCUUUUCUUUUUUUUAAUUUCAAUUAUACAUACAGAUACGUAUACGGUUGGAUACCAUGGCUUUUUUGGUGUGUCCUUCCACAGUGCGGCCGUAUACGAUGCGUAUACGGCUGGUAGACGGAGCGUCAGAUUGGGUUUGGAAUUUUGCGUGAGGCGUCAAACAAGCGACGCAUCUUUGACGCUGGAUUUUUGUGAGAGGCCCGGAACUCUCAUUUCAUUUUCUUUUCUUUUGUUUCAAAAAAAAAAAAGAAAUGAAACGGUGGUGGAGCUUUUGGUUGAUUUAUUUAUUUUAUUUUAUUUGGUGAUUUGACAUGAAUUUCUUAAUGUUCAAUUUGCCUCUUCUUUCUCUUUUUCUCAUUAAUUCUGACGGAGUCAGAAAUGCGAUGAGAGUUGUUUGCAUACUGUAGAAGUGUGGAUUUUUAUUUGUGAGGAAUUGAGAAUUGUUUGUUUCUUAUUUUCAUUUAUUUUUUAAAGGUAAGAAAUUGGGGAUUUUUUUUUGUUGUCUUUUUGAAAUAUUUGAUUCAUAGCCAAACCCAAUUUUAGUAAACGCUAUUUUAGUUGAUUUAGACCCAAAUCGAUCCAUCUUAACCCUAAAAAAAAUCAUUUUUUUUGAUAGAAGUGGAAUGAAAACAGAUCUUUUCAUGAAGAAAGGCCAUGUCCCGGCCUCAAAUUAUAUUGAAUUUGAUUUAAAACAUUGGUUUUAGAGGCCUCUAUAAAGAUCGCUAUCAUUUUUUCGCAAAGUCUACUCAAAUUUUCGGAACAUUCUUCUUGUACUGAUCCGUACCGAAUCUAUUUUGCAUUACUUCGAUCCCUAUCGAUUCUGUUAGUUCCUAAAAGUCUCAGGUCUUUUGGGAGAAGUCGUAUUUAAUGGAACAAAGUCUCGUUUUGAAAUUUUAGAGUUCUCCAAAUGGUACAUAUCUCAUAAGAAUGUGAACACUAGAAAAUGAAAUGUCUUAGAUGCAAGCAUCUGAACACUAGAAAAUGGAAUGUCUUAGAUGAUAUCUUACAUUGUUUUUGGGGAAAAUCAAUUUAUAGACAUUUUUUUUUGGGGGAAAAUCAAUUUAUAUACAUUGUUUUGAGGAUUUGAAAUUCUCAUUUUUUUUUCUUAUUUAUAUAAGUUAGGGAGGGUAUAAGUAAUUGGAUGGAGUUUUUAUGAGGUCUAACCUUUAUGACAACAAAUUAAAGCAUACCUCGAGUCUUCGGUCAAGACGCAUUUUGGACUGGAAAUAUCUCAGUGGGCUCUAAAUCAAUUUUCAGGUCCGAUUAUGAAAUUCGAAGCUCAAAAAAUAGUAUAGAUAAUGCAGGAAAGUAUAGGAUGAGAUUUUUAUCUUUGGUAUAAGGUGAUCGCAUUAUUUUUGACGAUGGGAAAUUGGGUGACUGCAAUAAUCCUAUUGAUUAUAUCAUUUUUUUUUUGAACUUUGUGAUAUAUCCAAGCUAUCAAACUUCACAUAAGAAUGGUUGUAAAUAAUUGUAAUGAAUUUGUAUCAAAGAUAAAUGAGAUAAUGAUCUCAUUGUAUACAAUCUCAUAAUGCAUGUACAUGAAAUAUUUAUGUGGAUAUUUAUUUUUUUUAAAAAAAAGAUAAAGAUGGUUCAAAUAAUGUAUUAUAUAUAUUAUAUAUUAUUUUUAAGGUCGGAAGUCUUCAUUUUUUUUUUAACAAUUAUAAGGGUCAAGGCUAUGAUGAUUGAUUUGAAGGUUUUCUUCCAAACUUAUAAUUUAUGUGAGGCUUUACUUGCAACCUUACUGAAAUAUUUUCUAAUGAAUUUGAGGGUUUCCCGACUAGGGGUGGCAACAGGUUCGGUAGGGUUAGGUUCAAGGUCCGGUUGGACUUGGAUUUGAAUAGUAUUAGGGUCUAGUUUUGAACCCGGACUCGGGUCCAAAAAUUGGACCCAUCCCAUACUCAUCAGGUCUUGGAUCUACCUCAUCGUGUCUCAAGUCCGGUUGGAUCCAUUGCCAUUUUCUAUUUUUUUUGCCUUUUUUUUAGCCAUUAUAUACUCAUGUUAUUAGCAAUAGGGUUACAAUCACCUUCAAGUAAAUUUGAAGGCCUUUGAUUUAUCUGAUUUGUCAUUUAAUAGUUAAAGAAGAUUAUGAGUUUUUAUUGUAUAAGAUCUUUAAUACAUCCAAACGAAUAGGGUUUAAAGUAAAGUAAUUUUAUUUCUAACGGUUUACGGGUACGGAUCGGGUAUGGGCAGGGUCCAGCUGGACCCGGACCCCAAUGGUGUUUGACCUAGACUUGACUCACCGGGGCCAAAUACUGAACCCAUACUGAAAUCCGUGUUGGGUACACCCGACGGGUCUCGAGUUGGGUCCAGGUCCAUUGCCACCCCUAUUCCUGACAACGAUGCUUCAAAUUAAGAUGCGAGGUACUUUUUUUUUUUUAAUACCUAAGUCAUGAGUCCUAUUUUAACCUUUCCAAAUCAAUUUCCUUGUCAAUCCAAUGCCCCUAGCUCAAAGGGGGUAAAAUAUGAAAAAUAUAAGAAACAAUAAAGGUUAUAAUUGCUCUGAUUCCAGGUGUGAUAUAUUACUUUUUCAAGACAAUUUUGUCCCUUACUGAUAAGAAUUGAUGUGCAUCUAACUUUCUACUAGUGGGAGCAGAGGAAUGGAGAAACUAUCUCGCUAAUACUUACCUUAGGGAUCCGAAACCUAAAGGUUCGGGCUUGGAGCAUGCUGCCCUUCUAGUGCCACGACCUCCUCUUUUGAUGCCCUUUGCUUGCUGAAAAUCGGUAGAUGUGAGGUUUUUUCAAAUGGAUCUAGAGUUCUUAAGGCUAAAAGAAGGGCUAUAGAUUUUUAGAUAAGGUUUUACCUAAGAUUUUCAAAGACGAUGAAUUGAUUUUUCUUAACUUUCUAAGGGUUUUGAGGUCUCCGAUUUUUAAAUCUAAUUUUCGGAUAUUUUGAUUUUUUUGGGGAUUUUUUUUUAAAUUUCCUAAUUUUAUAGGAAUUUUCUAAUAUAAUCUCCUAUUUUCUAGGAUUUAUUGGGAAUUUUCCUAAUUUUCAAUUUCAUAGGGAUCUCAAUCUAUUUUCUAUAAUUUUUAUUUUUUUUAUAGGGAUUUUAAUAUAUCUUGGAUGGAGUAUUUAUUGGAUGAAGUAGGGUUACACUGGAAAUUAGAUCGGUUCGAUCCAAGGGCACUAAAUUGAGUCAAAAUAGUCAAUUUCACAUAUUUUUGCUUUUGACCAAUUCAAAGGCUUCUAGAAAAUAACCCACCGCCCUGGGCCCAUCGGGCUGCACCUCAUACGGCAUGACGCAGCCUGCAUAUUGCGUGCCAUGUGGUGCGCACGGUCUAGGCAAAGGUAUUUUGGUAAUUUUAUCCCCUAAUUUUUUAAGGCUUUAGAUUUGAUUAUGUAGGUUUGAUUUGUAUGAUUUUUGGAUCGUUGGAAAGCUCUCAAGGUCUACUAUGAUAUGAGAUAGUUUUUGGGUGAUUUUUGGAUAAUUAAACUGGAUUUAGGUGUUCAAUGAUUUGCUAGGAUUUAUGUUGUCCUAUAAACUCAUAUUUAGGAUUUUUUUUUAGAAUUCCUUUAGUUUGAAUUUUGAAAGGGGUGUCUACAGUUGCCCCUCUUUGGCAUCUCUGGCAUUCACCUGGGGUACCAGGUGAAUGGCAAAGAAGUAAACACUUGGGAGAUGAUGAAAAUAUUUUUUUUGAGGUGUAAUCCUUUCGAAUGGCGAGUACCAUUUGGGGAGGCGGUACCUCGAUGGAUGCUUUUAACGUGUAAGACAUCGAACUGAAACUACACUAUUUUUGAGGCAGUAGCAUUGAAAGGUCUUCGACAAUCGAGAUCCGUAGUCAACAAGAAUUAUGCUAUCUUUGAGCCGAUGACUUCUUGUUGAGGUCACCCCAAGGCUACAUAGGAUUCCAGUAUAAUCAUUUUCGACUUCAGACCUUUUUCUUGAAGUCUGGUCUCCAAUUGAAUUGGACUCUGAUUUUAAGUAGAAAUGAAUGAUGAUGAUGAAUUCCUAACUAAUAGAACUUUGUUCGCCUUUGAUUCUAAUUCUUAAGAUCCAAAGGUUCAAGCUUGAAAUUUUGUGAACUUAUGAGUUGUUCUUUCUAAGCAGUUUGCAGUAUGGCAUCCAGGAUCUAGUGGUGGCAAAACAUAUCAGGUCCAAGCCUACUUGAAACUCAUUCUUUUUAAAAAAACAUUUUAUAAGGUUUUGAAGUUUGGUAGGAUUUUGAAACCAAUACAGAGUUUUGGACUACGAUUUAACCAAAGAAAUUAAGAUUUUUGAAAACUUCACGGGAACAUAUAGGGGAAAUGUUUGAAGAUAGGGAGAAAUUUUGGAAGAAAUUGAUGUUGGUUAGCUUUUUAAGUUCGUGCAACCAUUGAGCCCUCUGAACAGUUUUACAUCACGGAGUGAUGGGCGUAUCUUGUAACACAUUGAGGCAUUUGGCACAGAGAGCCCACUUCACACACAGCCCAUCUUCGCCCAGCUGAAAAGGGCUUGAAAAUUGCCAAAAAUCGAGACAAAGUGUCUUUUAGUCAUUUAAUCGCAUAUUUUGAGGGCACAGUCCAAGCAUUUUCAAAGUAAAAAUUUGUAAGAAUUCAAACACGAUUUUGUCAUAGAAAAACAACCAAUUUGCAGUUUUUUUGUUCUAUGAAAAUAUCACUUAACCAAGUGUUUUUGAUCCAUAGCAAAAGAUGUGAAAAAGGAAGAAGAGUUUUAUUGAUCAUACCUUCUCCUUGGCCUUAUUUUUUGAAAUAUAUUUGGCUCCCAAGUACCAUUGCGCCCCCCUCCAUCCAUUUUUGACUUUCCAAAGUUUUGAAAGAUGAUUUCCGAAAGGUUUGAAUUGAACUUUGGGAUUUGGGCCUCCUGGUGGUGAUGAAAUUGCGUGAGAGAGAGAGUGAUGGAGUAAAGCCCACCAAUGGGUUUUUAAGGGAACGAGAGAGAAGUCAUGCCAGUAGAUUUUUAAGGGAAAGAGAUGGGAGUUAAAAUGAGGGUCAUGAAAUUGUUAGAGAGAGAGUGAUAGAGAAAAGCCCACCGAUGGGUUUUUAAGGCAAAGAGAGAGAAAUUAAGAUGAGCAAAGAGAAGAGAUGAAGUUCAUCAACUCGAGCCACUCCUGUGCUAUAGGAAACACUCUCAAAACCACGGGCCGAUCAAAGGGUACCGUUGAGCUUGACGAGGUAUAUCCCCAUUAAGAAAAGCCUUGAGAGAUGUGAAAGCCAAGCUGUUGAGAAAGGGGAGAAAGGGGGAGGAGCAAGCUCCUUACCUUCCUCCUUGUAUGAGUUGUUUUACUCCUUGGGAGGCAUCUUGAUCAAAACCGGUAGAAGGUUGAAGAUGAAGAGUAAGGAGGUCGUCAGAAGAAGAGUUGAAAUAUUAAGAAAAGAAAGAAAGGAAUAGGACUUAUGUGAGGAAGAAUUUCGAUUUUCGAGACCCUAAUUAUAGAUUAAAGUCUAGUCCUGUAUGAAUUGGACUACAAACCUGAAUGGGAGCGGGUAAAAUCAAGAAGAUAAGCCAGAGAAAAAAAACGCCGCAAAACAGGUCAUCUGGAGCAUAAUGCCUUAAACACUGCAUAACCUGGCUUCUUUUUCGGAACAUGGCAGAAUCAGUUAAAUGCUGGUGAAUGUGGUGUUUAUUCGGGAUACUAACCAUAAAAAUGUUUGGUACCAUGGCCUCAUUCGCUUACCCUCUACAAAAAAAAAACUUUUUACCAGAAUUUUCCAAAACAGAACAUGUUGGAAUCAAGGAACCCCUUAGGGAAUUUUGGUAAAAAUGUAAUGGGAUAUUGGGACCCAAAAGUAUGUCAGUGUGAUGUGGAAGAUCAACGGUACAACAACAAUCGAAAUUGGGCACGGAUCGGUCCAAAAAUCAGGAGAACUCACCCCGAACUGAAUGGCCCAAAAUUGGACCACCUAUGGUCUAGACGCCACACACUGUGGCGUCUAAUCAAACUAGGCCCAAACGCCCACAUACUGUGGCAUCUAUCACAGAGAGCCCACUUCACAUAGUGGCCUUCAACCCAUGUCGCCUGGCCGAAAAAUGGCAAAAAAAUUGCCAAAAAUUGAGAGAAAGUGUCUCUUAGUCAUUUAAUCGAAUAUUUUGAGGGCGCACAAAGCAUUUUCAAAGUGAAAAUUUAUAAGAAUUCAAGCACGAUUUUGUCAUAGAAAAGCAACCAAUUCGAAGUUUUUUCGUUCUAUAAACAAUCUCUUCUCAGUUAAACAAGUGGAAUUAGCAAUUGGAAAGUGUGAAUACACAGCAAAAGAUGAGAAAAAUGGGAGGAGAAUUUUUUUGUCGUACCUUCUCCUUUGCCUUACUCUUUGAAAUAUGCUUCGGUCCCAAUUACGAUUGCGGCUCAUCUUCAUUAAUUUAAUUUUUUUACUUCCGAACGAUGAUUUUCGAAAGGUUUGGAAGUUAAGAUGAGGGAAGAGAAGGGAUGAAGGUCAUCAACUCGGGCCACUCCCAAGCAGUAGAAAACCACAGCCGAUCAAAGGGCAUCAUUGAGCUCGAAUGGGUGUUUCUCUAUUAAGUGAAAGGGCCUAAUUUGUGAAAGAAGUGGAGGAGCAAGCUCCUUAGCAUCCUCCUUGGAUGAGUUAUCUUGCUUCUUGGGAGGCAGCUUGAUAAAAACUAGUAAGUGGUUGAAGAUAAAGAGUAAGGAGGGUCUUGAGAAGAAAGAUUAUGAAAAGAUAGAAAUGAAUAAGAAGAAUUUCAGUUUGAGAGACCCUAAGUCGAGUCCUGUAGGAAUCGGACUCCUCCGGGAAAAUCAAGAAAAUAGGUCUGAGACAAAAAUGCCGCAGAGCAAGAGGCCUUAAAUUCCGCCCGCAUGUCAAUUUCGGAGUACGUCAAAAUGGUGGAUGUGGUGUUUAUUCGGGAUACUAACCGUAAAAAUGUCUAGCACCAUGACCUCUCAUUCGUUUACCCUCUGAAAAUAAAUGAAUAAAAGCUUACCAUAACAUUCCAAAAGCCCAUGGAAUGGAAAAGAUAAACUGUUGGAAUCAGAUAACCCAUAUUGGCAAAAAUAUAUUGGGAACCAAAAGUAAGACCCAGUGACAUAUUGUGAGAUGUGACACAACAACAGUCAAAAUUGGGCUUGGAUCAGUCCAAACAAACCUGAAUUGAAUGGCCCAAAAUUGGACCACCUAUAGUCUAGAUGCCAACCACCGUGGCGUCUAAUCAAACUAGGCCCAAUGGCAUACACAUUGGCCUUCGGCCCAUGUUCGCCCGGCCAAAAAUGGCCCCAAAAUUACCAAAAAUCGAGAGAAUAUAUUCUACUAGUCAUAUAAUCGAAUAUUUAGAAGGCACACUCCAAUGAUAUUCAAAGAGAACUCCAGCAAUUUUGUCAUAGAAAGGCAACCAAUUCGAAAUUUUUUCGUUCUAUCAAAAUGUCAGUUAAGAAAGUGGAAUUAAUAAUUGGAAAGUCUGAAUGUGAAAGUUUUUGACCUUCUCCUUGGCCUUACUCUUUGAAAUAUGCUUCGCCCCCAAAUACAGUUGCCACUACUCUCCAUCCAUUUUUUACUUCCCAAAGUUUCCAAGGAUGAUUUUCGAAAGGUUUAAGUUGAACUUUGGGAAUUGGGGCUCCCGGUAGUGAUGAAAUUGUUAGAGAAUGAUGCUGUAAAGCCCACUGUUGGGUUUUUAAGAGAGAGAAGUUAAACAAACUUUGAGAGAUGUAAAAAAGCAAACUCUCUGGAAAUAGCUUAAUUCAUGAGACAAGGGGAGGAGCAAGCUCGUUACUUUUCUCUUUUGAUGAGUUAUCUUGCUCCUUGGGAGGCAUCUUGAUCAAAAAAUAGUAACGAUUUAAGAUGAAGAGUAAGUAAAGGCCUUGAAGAAGGGUUGAAAGAUUAAGAACAUAAAGAAAGGAAUAAGACUUAUGUGAGUGAGGAAGAAUUUCGGUUUCAGAGACCUCGUUUUACAAAUUCAAAGUCGCAUUCUGUAGGAAAUUGAUUCCUAAUUUGAAUGAGAGCAAGAAAAAUUAAGAAUAUAUGUUGGAAACAAAAACGCCCCGCAUCUGGAGCAAGAGGC